GACAGCGACACCGUCAGGGUCAGCGCCCGCAGCGGCCCCCACCCCGGCGAUCGGCGCCUGCACCCUGGGCUCCCCUCCCAGCACUUCUGAUCCUGGGAUGCCCACGGCCAGAAGGCCCUUCACCUUCACCCUGUCUUGCAACAUGCUGAGGUCUUGGGGAAGUCACACGUACUCUCGGUGCCUCGGUUUCCCCUCUGCUUCAGGGAGCUUCAGUGAUCGGCGACAAGGGCCAACCCAAGCCAGCCCAGGAACUCCACAUGUAGGAUCAUAUUGGCGUAACAGAGGACAAGAGGGGGUGGGACAAAACCCAGGCAUUAGGCACCCAAGUUUGGAAACGAUUCUUGUUCUGCUCAUGCUCCAGCUUAGCUCGACCCCUCCCAGCCCCACAGCCUCCACAGGGUACAGCCUCCUGUCAGGACUCCAGUUCCUUGGCUCAACAGGGAGUCCCUCGAAAAAAGGGUUGGAGUUGGCCUUGGCCCAGCACCUUCCAGCAAAGCUGGCCCCGGGACACAGCGUAAGGAAACUGAGGCUCAGAGAGGGAAAAUGACUCGCUCACGGUCACACAGGCAAGCCAUCUCGUUUGAGACUCCAGCUUCCACCGAACCUCAGGGCUCAAGACAAGCAAGUCUGACCCCUUCUGGAAAACCUGCCUUGGAGGCAAUUUGCCAAGCGGAGGCCCAGCCCCACCCCUGCCCUCUGCACC